AUCGAACUGACGAGUCCGAAAUGGGACGAAACGCGAGUCCUGGAU
rnacentral:hammerhead_ribozyme from 1 species